AUGCUUUCGAUUGGCCCCUCUGAUGCCAAAGUACUGCAGCUCAUAAAGACAAUCUGAAUCACUGAAAUAAUGUUGAUUUUAACUUCUCACACUCUCUCUCGAAUCCACAAGCUCCUCCAAGGAAUGUACUUGGUGUUAAUACAUGAAGAGAGAAUUCUUUACUUUUCAUAAGAUGUGACACUCUUUGUUUACAAGUUAUGGGCAUUGCUAUUAGAUUUGCCAUCAGAAACCCAGAAGACACAUGGAUCUGAAAAUCCACACUUUCAAGGAGAAAGCAGGAUGCCAGCAGUAUACAGCCCAAAGAGUCUGAAAUUAUUCCCACUGAAGUCAGUGAGAAUUUCAAAAUUAAAUUCUAUUGAAGCAGGAUUGGACGCAAACAGAAUUCAACAUUCUACAGAACCCGAAGACACUGCUAGAUACAGUGUCAUUGUUCUCAGCCAUGAAGAGCCUGGGAUCUGCACCUUGAUAAUAUUGUCCAUUAUAAGCCUAUUUUCCAUUCAGGUGCUCAAACAGGCCAUCCAGCAUUGCAAAGUGCUGGACUGACAGCAGACCAGGUUACCCAUCUGUAGACCUUGAAAAAUAUUUACUUUGGUUAUGUGCAUAUCCAAGCCAGCCCUAUGGACAUGGCCUAGAUUAGCCAAUUGUCUUAAAAAUAUAGGAAAUAGAGACUAGUUAUAUAUUGAGAAUUCCUGUGCCAGGGCUGACAUCAGCACCAUCAAAUAUAUGCAUACUCUAAGUCUAUAGUUAAGCCAAAAAGAAAGCUUAUACUGGAAUUGCUGAUUGAAGAGAACAAAUUGAAGAAUUCUCUGAUGGCUAGGAAGAUGGGGUCUUAGAGGUAGGAAUCCAGAAGAUUGAGCACACUAUAAAUGUGAACGGAUUAAUUGCCGGGAUCACUGGCUUUAGAGUCGUCUUUUUCAGCCAAAGAUAUCCUCAGUCCCAGAAGUGGAUAAAAAUGCCUUGGUUCAUUUGAAAACAAUCAAGUCAAUUGUGAUGCAAGGUCCUCCUGAUGCCAAAAGGCAGAAGGGAAAGGGAUUCAUAAGGGAUCCCAGGGUCUGAUAUCUGCAUACUAGUCCACCAAAGAAUGUCAUUAAAAUCUCUAAUAAAAGCCUGUGUCAUAUGGGUUAUCGUAAUUAUUGUGAAAUAUGUAUACAGCAAAUAUGUGAAGAGGUAUGUGUGUAUAUAUACUAAAAAUUUGUUCUCUGGUUUGUGAGUGAAGACAGGUCACCAAAAGGCAAUUCACCUACUCUUGACAGGUGGGGGAAAGAGAUGCUUAUCUCACUCUGGCUGGUUAUGUGGAAAUUAAAUAUUGUAUGUUUCACAAUGGAUGCCCAUUUACAGUUCGAGCAAAAUGCUAAUCAACAAAUUGCCAGGGCUGGAGGAAAAAAACAAAACCAGCAGGGUCGGGAUUAUCCUGUUUGGGAGUAAGACAAUUAACUUUUGAAACUAUAUCUGGAGUGCAGAUGAUUCCCCAGAUAUUCUGUCAAUCUGUAAGGACAAGCAGCCAGACAGCUUGAUCUUAUGGGAAGGGAUCUCAGCUAAUCGCUGGGACAAG